GCUUUCCCCCUGGGGACUAGCAUAUCAAUAAGCAGCAGGAUAGACACAGGCAGGGAUUGCCUUAGUAGCGGCGAGUGAAGCGGCAAUAGCUCAAAUUUGAAAUCUGGCACCUUCGGUGUCCGAGUUGUAAUUUGAAGAAGGUAUCUUUGGUUUUGGCUCUUGUCUAUGUUCCUUGGAACAGGACGUCACAGAGGGUGAGAAUCCCGUGCGAUGAGAUGCCCAAUUCCAUGUAAAGUUCCUUCGACGAGUCGAGUUGUUUGGGAAUGCAGCUCUAAGUGGGUGGUAAAUUCCAUCUAAAGCUAAAUAUUGGCGAGAGACCGAUAGCGAACAAGUACUGUGAAGGAAAGAUGAAAAGAACUUUGAAAAGAGAGUGAAAAAGUACGUGAAAUUGUUGAAAGGGAAGGGCUUGAGAUUAGACUUGGAACUUUCCAAUUUAUUGGAGCUUUCCGGGCCAGCAUCAGUUUGGAUGGUAGGAUAAUUGCGUUGGAAAGUAGCACUACUACGGUGGUGUAUUAUAGACUUCGUCGAUACUACCUAUCUAGACUGAGGACCGCGUCUUUGACUAGGAUGCUGGCGUAAUGAUCUUAAGCCGCCCGUCUUGAAACACGGACCAAGGAGUCUAACGUCUAUGCGAGUGUUUGGGUGUAAAACCCGUACGCGUAAUGAAAGUGAACGUAGGUGAGAGCCUUAGGGUGCAUCAUCGACCGAUCCUGAUGUCUUCGGAUGGAUUUGAGUAAGAGCAUAGCUGUUGGGACCCGAAAGAUGGUGAACUAUGCCUGAAUAGGGUGAAGCCAGAGGAAACUCUGGUGGAGGCUCGUAGCGGUUCUGACGUGCAAAUCGAUCGUCGAAUUUGGGUAUAGGGGGCGAAAGACUAAUCGAAACCAUCUAGUAGCUGGUUCCUGCCGAGCUCCCCCCCCAGAGAAUGCAUGAGUAGUGUGUGUGUGUUCGUGGAGAGUGUCUCGCCCCGCGCUCCAAUGUCCUCGGGUGUGCUGCAUCGAGGAUGGGAGAUGUCUCAUUGGGGUUCUCCGCGCAUCCUAUCAGGUCCACUAUACAACGAGAGGCACAAGUGAUGCUUACCCAGACUCCAGCACUUCCGUAUUGCUCAGUAGGUCUAGACUACUACUUCAUUCAUACGAGUUUUGUACAACACUUCAGACCUUGGAAUC
rnacentral:rRNA from 1 species